rnacentral:lncRNA from 1 species
UCAUAUUUCAUUUCGUUUCCAUUUUCUGACUUCCCUUACAGUUGGAGGUGGCCGAGUCCUUUCUGGUAGAGGUUGAGAUGAGUGAUGUGUGGCAUUUCCAGACCAAAGCUGUGCCCUCCUUCCAUGGCAGAGGCUGAGGAAUGGCAGAGUGCACCAUGCCGGAGCUCCCAUCCUUCCACCCCCAUGUGGACGGCUUCACACUGGCGUGAAUCCCUGUGCCUCCACGCGCUGCAGACCCACCCAGCAAGUCUCAUGAGCAAGAGGAAGCUGUCAGCCCCAGAAGCCACCUCCUCCCGGCUGAGUUCUCUCUUUGGUCAAGUUUCGGGGAGCCCAGGUGAGCUAGCCUGUGCGCACUGUCCCCUGUGGGGCUGCAGAGGCCUGUGGACAUCCUUGGCUCCAAAGCCACGUCAAGCCCUCUGCCCUUUCUGCCCGCUGCACUGCAGCCCACCGCCCUGUGGCCAUUCCCACCCA